rnacentral:rRNA from 1 species
UACGUAGGGGGCAAGCGUUGUCCGGAUUCAUUGGGCGUAAAGAGCGUGUAGGCGGCCAGGUAGGUCGGUUGUGAAAACUGGAGGCUCCAACCUUCAGAGGUCGACCGAAACCAUCUGGCUAGAGUCCGGGAGAGGAGAGUGGAAUUCCGUGGUGUAGCGGUGAAAUGCGCAGAUAUCAGGAAGAACACCCGUGGCGAAAGCGGCGUCUCUGGAACGGUACUGACGCUGAGACGCGAAAGCGUGGGGAGCGAACAGG